rnacentral:rRNA from 1 species
UACGUAGGGGGCAAGCGUUGUCCGGAUUUAUUGGGCGUAAAGAGCGUGUAGGCGGCCAGAUAAGUCCGCUGUGAAAUCUCGAGGCUCAACUUCGAGCUGUCGGUGGAAACUGUCUGGCUAGAGUCCGGAAGAGGAGAAUGGAAUUCCUGGUGCAGCGGUGAAAUGCGCAGAUAUCAGGAAGAACACCCGUGGCGAAGGCGGUUCUCUGGGACGGUACUGACGCUGAGACGCGAAAGCGUGGGGAGCGAACAGG